rnacentral:misc_RNA from 1 species
UCUCCGUUGGUGAACCAGCGGAGGGAUCGUUACCGAGUUUACAACUCCCAAACCCCUAUGUGAACGUUACCUAACUGUUGCCUCGGCGGGAAAUUCAUGCCCCGGGCGCGUCGCAGCCCCGGACCAAGGCGCCCGCCGGAGGACCAACCAAAACUCUUUUGUAUGUCCCUCGCGGACUUUUAUAAUUCUGAACCAUCUCGGCGCCCCUAGCGGGCGUUUCGAAAAUGAAUCAAAACUUUCAACAACGGAUCUCUUGGUUCUG